rnacentral:lncRNA from 1 species
UCUUAUUAAGACUGGCUUUAGAACCGUAGGUUUUUUUAAAAAAUUAUUAUUUAUUUUUGCCCUCUUUGGGGAAGUGGGUGGGUAGAUUUAAAAAAUCCCUUCCUGAGUAAUAAAGAUACAAAAUGUUACUGCUGAUAAUUGUGAUUUGUUGAGCCACGUCUAUAUUAACUAUAGCUCCCCUCUAUUUUUAAAAUUUUACAUAAGAAUUGCUUCUUCCUCUUUUGUCAAGUCCACAGAGACAAUGUGAAGCAUUAUUGAAUUUAGACUGUGUUGCUUCAUAGUCUGGAUAACAGGAGCCACUUUCCUUCCUCAGAAUUUAGGACAUAAACCCAAUUUUAGGUCUGCAUUAUGUAAGCCUGUUUGCAUUGUCAUUUUUAUUUUAGUGCAAAAGACUACCAAUAUGAGUGAAUUAUUUGUUUGUAAAUUGGCAUAAUUGUCUUCAUAAUUUAAUGUUCAGAAAUGCAGUAAAGCACGUUGAUGAAAAGCUUA